UACAGAGGAGCCAAGCGUUGUCCGGAUUGACUGGGCGUAAAGCGCACGCAGGCGGUCUGGCGCGUGGGGUGUGAAAUCUGGCCGCUUAACGGCCAGGCGCCAUCCCAUACGGCUAGACUGGAGGGCUGCAGAGGUCGAUGGAAUUGCCGGUGUAGUGGUGAAAUGCGUAGAGAUCGGCGGGAACACCCAGGGGGAAACCAGUCGACUGGGCAGCACCUGACGCUGAGGUGCGAGAGCGUGGGGAGCGAACCGG
rnacentral:rRNA from 1 species